GCAGAUGGCUACCUUCUACCUGUGUCCUCACGUGGCGGAGAGAGAAGUCAAGUCUCUGUCUCUCUCUCUUUUCUUCAAAUGGCUGCACUCGAGGCAUAUGGAGAUUCCCAGGUUAGAGGUUGCAUGGGAGUUGCAGCUGCCGGCCUACGCCACAGCCACAGCCAUGCCAGAUCUGAGCCGUUUCUGCCACCUACACCACAGCUCACGGCAAUGCCAGGUCCUUAACCCACUGAGCGAGGCCAGGGAUCGAGCCCAAGUCCUCAAGGAUACUAGUCCCAUUCUUCACCUGCUCAGCCACAGUGGGAACUCCUGUGUCUCUUCUUACAAGGGAGCUCACCACUUCUUUAUCUGACUCCUGAUUACACCACCUCUGUGUCGAUGGUUUGUGUAGCACCCACGGGUAACUCAGCGAAGCUCAAUGUCCUACGAGGGGCCAAAUCGGUGCAUGGGAAAUACAGCCUCCCCUGCUGGGGCCUAAUCCAUGUUUGAAAUCGAGACUCUUCAGGAAAAACAGCCUCUCACGCCAUCCUCCACGACCCCCACAUUUUAGGGUUCACAGAAGAAUGCGGGGCGAGGUUGAACAACGGGUUCCUGGCUCUAUUUCUGGGAACAGUGUGUUUUGCUGAUUGAAGGCAGAGCCGGAAGCAGAUUCACCAUCUCAGAGGGCUGAAGUCGACCUCUCUGGUGGAUGGAUGGACACACUGCAGAAUGGAGACCCUUCCCCUCCCUGCCGAGCGGGUCAAAGAAGGGAUCCUUGACCCAUGGGGGCUCCUCACAAGGAUUUGCCGGACAAACAAAAAUGAUUCUACGGCAGCUCAACAAACUGAGCGGAGCUGUCCGGGUUUCUACAGAGAAACAGAACCAAUAGGAUGUAGACACACACACACACAGAGAUAUGGAGGAAGAAAGAAAGAGAGUGGGGGGACCUGGUCUGCACAGUUGGGGACCGUGGAGGAGGCUGGCAAGACCAAAAUGUGCAGGGCAGGCCCGCAGGCUGGCGAUGCGAGGGAGAGUCAACAGUUGAAGUCGAAGACUGUCUGGAGGCAGAACUCCCUCCGCUCAAGGCUCUCCAUCGUCUUCUAAGUCCCUCGACUGGUGGGACAAAGCCCCCCUUGGGGAGGAUCGUCCGCUUUACUCAGAGUCUGCUGACGUGCGUUAAGAUCUUCUGAAAAACACUUUUUUGACAACAUCUAGAAUCAUGUUGGACUGAAUACCUGGGGAGCAUGGCCCAUGGUGAGCAAUUAACCCUCUCACUCUUGAUCAGGUACAAACGUGUCCCCACAGUGACAGCAAGAUGUUCGGGGGCGCCAGGGUUUCAGGCUCCUUCAAGGGCAGCUCUGCUCUUAAAUGUCCUCAUUUGGGUUCCCUUUCCAGGUCUUCGUGGGCAGGAGGAUGUGCGGGCAGCCCUGGGAGAGGGCUGCCCUGCACUGGUGAGCAUCCCUGAGGCCCUGAGCUGCCCCCCGACUGCAGGACCACCAUCCUCCCUGCCCCUUCCUCUCUCCGGUGGGAAUCUCAGAGCCGCAGUGUCUGGACAACGUCAGACUCUAGAUCCCGUUCAGGGAUGCCCCCAGAGCCGUCGUGGUUUGCCCUCCCACCCCAACUUGGCACCCUGGCUUCUCCCUUCCGUACUCAUUCAUUCUCUGUCAUUCCUGCUUUGCAGCCGGGCACCGCCGUUUAAGCUUCCUGUGCAGAUUCUGACAUAAGCCCUGGACAGAUCUGGACCCAGGUCCCCUAGUUCUCAUGGGUGCACGCCCCCCUUUUUCCGUCACUAGAUUAAAGGAACGGUAGGAAGGAAGCGUUGGGUUUUUAAAAUUUUAUCCAUAGGUGGAAACUUGCUUGUGUCAAAGUUGCAGGUUACAUGAAAUCCAAGCAGCCUUGUAAGAAUUCUGAUGUCUUGUCUCUAAAUGUUUGGAAUAGCAUUCUUUCAUAGGAUCAGAGUGGGCUGCCCUGGGGUGAGAACUCGUAGGCUUUUUACCUUUUUUUUUUUUUUUUUUAACGGUGGCACCUGUCGCACAUGGAAGUUCCUAGACUAGGGGUCAAAUCAGAGCUACAGCUGCCACCUCGUCUUGUAGGGACCAGCAUGUCAUCUCAUCUCCAAACCGAAGAGCCCUUGAGAGCAAGACUGAGACACCUGCGUGUCCUUCUGGGCCUUGGAGACAGCUGUGAAUGGGGGCAAGGGGUGGUGGACCCAGGAAAGCAGGAGCAGAUUCUCAUCCCCUAAGGGUCUGGCACCCCCUAGCCCAUGUCCUGGUUGACACAGCCAAGGCCACCUAUACUUGACCAGGAUCCACCAGCCAAAGCCAAGUGCAUGGGGUCAAGGUCCCCGUGGAGUCGUGGGGUGCCUUAGAGUCAGGAGGGUCCUCCAUUCCUGGGCACGAGGUGGCCACAGAGGUGACAGAAAUGAAGCCCAGAGGUUGAGAAGAUGCAAGCAAGCCGUGCGUCUGAGCAGGAACCUUGGCGGGUCCCCAGCCUCUGCCGAGGGCGAUGGGUACCAGUCUCCUCCUCCCCCCUCCACGAGUGCUCCCCCUCAGCCCUCUUUCCUCUAGCGCUCAGGAAACUCUGCGCCCCCAGGCCCCUUGCACUUAGAUGGGGUGCUUGGCUACUCCUGGAUACCAGGCUGUAAGAGGAAUUGUGUGCCACCUCUGGGUGGGGGCAUAAGUGUGUGUGUGUGUGUGUGUGUGUGUGUAGGCUCUCCACAGGCAUCCCCACCCUGCUGUGAAGGCAAAGGGGACCUCCUAUGGAGACAGCUGAGUCAGGACACGGGAGCAGCCUGCAGGGCUGGGUCCUUGCAUGGGGACAGCUAGGUCCCCGCAUGGGGACAGCUGCCCAGUGAAGUCACAUGCCCGGUAAAGUCACAACAUCUUGCAGGCGUGAAAAAAAACUUUUGCAGUUAAAGCAACUGAGAUUUGGGGAGAUGUUUGUUGCCACAGCAGGGCCCAGCCCAGCCCAACUAAUACACGUCGGUGGAGACAGGACCACCGUUCAAGGCCAGGCUCCCAGCCCCAGGUGCCUUAUCCACCAAAGGGAGGCUGUGAGGAUGAAGCGAGGCCAUGCUUGGGGAGAGCGUGGCCUGGUGCUAAGCCAAGGUCAGACAAGUGCGUGACAGCCAUUGUGUCUCCAAAGCCCCGGCUCUGGACGCUAAGGCGCACAGGCCAGUGUCCUGGCCAUCGUCAGCAUCUGUGCGCAGGAAGGAAAGACCGAGAGAGCUCCCAGGCCAGAUGGGGGCCAGGUUUGGAGGGAGCCUCGGGAGGGAGGCCGCAGGCCAAGUCCUGCGCCAGCCCCGGCGCGCAACAGCAGUCCCGAGGACUGUCAGCCGUCAUCGUCAUAUUCCCGUAAAUGCUGCGCAGAGUGAAAGGAAAGAAUUUCAAAUAACUGGGACCAGUAUUUAAUUAUUGUGAUUUAUUAACACCAGCUACACAGAGCAGGGCCGUGGACAUGACAUCCCUCGUUCCCCAGCGAGUCUGGGAGUCUGGUUGGCCUCCUGCCGCCUCCUGCACAACUCUUUUCAUUAUCAUCAUCCUGAUUAUUUACAACAGCCCGGCCGCUCAGGAGCAGGGCGAUCGCCGUCAAGUUCACAGCAAGUUCAAGGAUCGGCCAGGAGGCCUUGGGAGCAGGGGCGAAAAUCAGAGAAGGCCUGGCGGUUGGGAAAAGGGGACUGGUGGCCGGAGGGGCUCCAGGGCAGGAGGGUAAACAUGCAAUCAGGACUAAGGGGGGUGUUUAGGGGGUGAAAGGGGGUCUACUUGCAGAAAGGUGGGCUGGAGCGACCGCUCCUCCUCUGUCAUCUCUUCCCACACCCUCCUCUUCCCACUCAAUCCUUGUGUUCAUAGAACAGUCAUGUUUUGAGCAGCCGGCGGAACCACCCCCCACACAUGGUGAGAACGGUCUGUUUGGUGGUUACAGCUGCUCUUCUGCGAGGCUUUGUCUGAUAUCUCUCCCACACCAUGCUGCUAUUCCUCAUUGACACAACUCUGCGAUUCCAGUGUUGGUCCCUGUUUUACAGGGGAGAACACUGACCCUCAGAAACUUGGCCCAGCGUCGCGGAGCUUAUGGGAAGCACCCAGGACCCAUGUCUGUCUCACCAUCUGUACUUUGCAUAGUUAUCUCUUAUUUGAAUGGGAUUCCGUUUUGUUGGUUGGUACAAGCUUUUGAAAUGGGCCUUCCUUACCCCCGUCUCUGUGCCUGGAGAGAGAAAAGGUUAAGAAUUUCAGCCCUAAACACAGUGACUGAAGAGUAGGAAGACGUUAGGAUUGGAGUUCCCAUAGCGGCACAGCGGAAACAAAUCUGACUAGGAACCAUGAGGUUGUGGGUUCAAUCCCUGGCCUCAAUCACUGGGUUAAGGAUCCGGCGUUGCUGUGAGCUGUGGUGUAGGUCACAGACGGGGCUCAGAUGUGGCAUUGCUGUGACUCGGGCGUAGGCCGGCAGCCACAGCUGCGAUGAGACCCCUAGCC
rnacentral:lncRNA from 1 species